rnacentral:rRNA from 1 species
GCAAAACGCGAAGAACCUUACCUACUCUUGACAUCCAGAGAACUUAGCAGAGAUGCUUUGGUGCCUUCGGGAACUCUGAGACAGGUGCUGCAUGGCUGUCGUCAGCUCGUGUUGUGAAAUGUUGGGUUAAGUCCCGCAACGAGCGCAACCCUUAUCCUUUGUUGCCAGCGAUUCGGUCGGGAACUCAAAGGAGACUGCCAGUGAUAAACUGGAGGAAGGUGGGGAUGACGUCAAGUCAUCAUGGCCCUUACGAGUAGGGCUACACACGUGCUACAAUGGCAUAUACAAAGAGAAGCGACCUCGCGAGAGCAAGCGGACCUCAUAAAGUAUGUCGUAGUCCGGAUUGGAGUCUGCAACUCGACUCCAUGAAGUCGGAAUCGCUAGUAAUCGUGGAUCAGAAUGCCACGGUGAAUACGUUCCCGGGUCUUGUACACACCG